GAGUAACACGUGACUAACCUACCCUCGAGUGGGGAAUAACUCCGGGAAACCGGGGCUAAUACCGCAUAACAUCGCAAGAUCAAAGCAGCAAUGCGCUUGAGGAGGGGGUCGCGGCUGAUUAGCUAGUUGGCGGGGUAACGGCCCACCAAGGCGAAGAUCGGUAUCCGGCCUGAGAGGGCGCACGGACACACUGGAACUGAAACACGGUUCAGACUCCUACGGGAGGCAGCAGUGGGGAAUUUUGCGCAAUGGGGGAAACCCUGACGCAGCAACGCCGCGUGGAGGAUGAAGCCCUUUGGGGCGUAAACUCCUUUCGACUCGGACGAUAAUGACGGUACGAGUGGAAGAAGCACCGGCUAACUCUGUGCCAGCAGCCGCGGUAAUACAGAGGGUGCGAGCGUUGUUCGGAAUUAUUGGGCGUAAAGGGCGCGUAGGCGGUGCGGUAAGUCACCUGUGAAAUCUCCUGGCUUAACUGGGAGCCUGCAGGCGAAACUACCGUGCUGGAGUGUGGGAGAGGUGCGUGGAAUUCCCGGUGUAGCGGUGAAAUGC
rnacentral:rRNA from 1 species